rnacentral:tRNA from 1 species
GGUGGCUCAGUGGUAGAGUGCUUGCCUAGCAUGCAUGAGGCCCCAGGUUCGAUUCCUCAGCACCA